CCUGACUCCAGCUAGUCCACAUGUCACCUUCCAGGAAACGCUCAGAGGUGGUGGCAGCAGCCACUUUCUCCUCAUUGAGUCCCAGAGAUCUCACCACCAUUCCUCCAUUCUAGAGAAAGACAUCAAUGCCACGGUCCUCAAAGAACCCUGGGAACCCAUGUAUCCUGUCUGAAGAUGUGGCCUACAAUACCAGGCCCAGGAGGGGCAAUCAGCAAAGCCGGAACCCCUGCAGGGUGACUGAGGAGCCCACAGCGGGCAGGAAUGAUGGCUCCCUGUUGCCUGCCCACGUCAACACCCCAGCCGUCAGCCUGACACACUCUGUGCUGGGAUAUGUGUCCUGGUUCACCUGCCUGGCCUGCUUCCUGAGAACCCAAGCCCAGCAAGUCCUGUUCAACACCUGCAGGUUCAAGCUGCUCUGCCAGAAGCUCAUGGGGAAGGCGGGCGUUCUGAUCCUCUGUGCCUUUGGAUUCUGGAUGCUUUCUAUGCACUUACCAUCAAAAAUGGAAGUCUGGCAGGAUGGCAGCAUAAAUAGUCCACUGAAGAGCUUGAGGUUGUACCAAGAGAAGGUACGACAUCACACUGGGGAAAUCCAGGACCUUCGAGGUAGUGUGAACCAGCUCAUUGCCAAACUCAAAGAGAUGGAAGCCAUGUCAGACGAGGGAUUGAACUCGGGUCCUUGUGCUUGUGAGCAAAAAAUGGUCCAGAAGAUAAUGAAGAUGAUACAAGGAGAUUACAUUGAAAAGCCAGACUUUGCCCUGAAGUCGAUAGGUGCCACCAUCGACUUUGAACACACAUCAGCUACAUACAACCGUGACAAGGCUCGCUCCAACUGGAACUGGAUCCGGCUGUGGAACUACGCGCAGCCCCCGGAUGUGAUCCUUGAGGCAGGGGCAGCAGGGGACACGGGAAAGGGCAGGGGUGUGUUCAGGCCCAACAUGACACCAGGCAACUGCUGGGCCUUCGAGGGUGACCACGGCCAGGUGACCAUUCGGCUGGCCCAGAAGGUCUACCUGUCCAACCUCACAGUGCAGCACAUCCCCAAGACCAUCUCCUUGUCAGGCAGCCUGGACACCGCGCCCAAGGACUUCGUCAUCUACGUACCUGAGCACCUGCCGUGCCCACCCUGGGCCCCACUCAUCCCUCAUGGCCUGGGAGCUACACAGUUGUUAAUACCCAUUUGACAAAGAAACUGAAGCUCAGAGAGAUGGAGCCACUGCCCAGGGCCAAGAAUGGGACCCCCAGGGAGAUCUGCCGCCUCUGGAAGUCCCCACAUUCCCUGAUCUGCCCAGGAGUCCUCUUGCUGCCCUUUUCCCAGGGGCAGCAGAUGUUGCACCCAUCAGGUGGGGGUGCUGACUCCAAAGUUAGAGUCUGUACACUGGGAGCUCUCUGAUCAGCACCUGACUCAGUGACAGAACCAGCAGCUUCGGGCCUUUGGUGCGGUGAAGGUGAAGAUCUCCAGCAACUGGGGGAACCCGCAC